AGCCCCUAGCGCUCCGGCUGGGUCUCUCCCCCGCCCCCCAGGCUCCCCCGGUCGCUCUCCUCCGGCGGUCGCCCGCGCUCGGUGGAUGUGGCUGGCAGCUGCCGCCCCCUCCCUCGCUCGCCGCCUGCUCUUCCUCGGCCCUCCGCCUCCUCCCCUCCUCCUUCUCGUCUUCAGCCGCUCCUCUCGCCGCCGCCUCCACAGCCUGGGCCUCGCCGCGAUGCCGGAGAAGAGGCCCUUCGAGCGGCUGCCUGCCGAUGUCUCCCCCAUCAACUACAGCCUUUGCCUCAAGCCCGACUUGCUGGACUUCACCUUCGAGGGCAAGCUGGAGGCCGCCGCCCAGGUGAGGCAGGCGACUAAUCAGAUUGUGAUGAAUUGUGCUGAUAUUGAUAUUAUUACAGCUUCAUAUGCACCAGAAGGAGAUGAAGAAAUACAUGCUACAGGAUUUAACUAUCAGAAUGAAGAUGAAAAAGUCACCUUGUCUUUCCCUAGUACUCUGCAAACAGUAUGCCACUUUUUGGAAGUGGUCACUGUCAAUAUCUUGUUAUGGUUUGAUGGCCUU
rnacentral:sRNA from 1 species